UACUCAUCUGAGGAGAUAAAAAAACAAGUGCAGGGCUUUUCUGAAAAAGCACCGCGCCGUGCCUGUGUUCUCUCUCUAGAUCCGGGGAUGCGAGCCGUCGGGAGCAAACAGUACUAGUCAGGGCUGUGCUCGGGUUUACUUUGUGGUUUGGUUAUUGCAGAUUGUAAAAAUCACCAUCAUUGAAUUGCACGCUGUCAAUCCAACACAAGCAACAACGAAAAGAAAACCUGGGAUUACACUUGAAGGCACUGCAAGGGGCUGAACCGGUAGCCAGGGAUUGACCCCCCCAGCUGGAAGGUCGCUAUGUGGAGCUGCGUGAGCUCCAACGAGACAGACCACAGCUCGAACCAGCAGCUCUGCCAAGACUUGGGCCUCAUCCUGUCCCUCUCCUCACUCUUCUACCUCAUAGUCUGCUUCCCAAUCGGCCUGUGCUACAACGCCCUGCUGGUGACCGUCAACCUCUGCAACAAGGUGUCCAUGACCAUGCCAGACGUCUACUUUGUCAAUAUCGCCAUCGCCGGACUCGUGCUCAACAUAGUAGCGCCGGUGCAGCUGCUGGGCCCGGGCUACACCCACUGGGCCAUAUGGGACUUCAACAAGGAGGUGUACAUAACCCUGCUCAUUCUGUUCAACAUUUCCUCUCUGGUGAUCAUGUACUCCACCACACUGCUGACCCUGGACUACUACAUCGAGCGCGCCCUGCCCAGGACCUACAUGUCCAGUGUCUACAACACCAAGCAUGUCUGCGGGUUCAUCUGGGGUGGGGCGGUGCUCACCAGCUUCUCGUCCCUCCUGUUUUACGUCUGCAACCACGUGUCCACCAAGAUCAUCGAGUGCUCCAAGAUGCAGAACAAAGAGGCAGCGGACGCCAUCAUGAUGUUCAUCGGGUACGUCGUGCCCGCUGUUGCGGUGUUCUACGCUUUGGUGUUGAUACUGAGGAUCCGGAAAGAGUCAACGCCCCUCGAUCAGGACUCUGGCAGGCUGGACCCUUCAGUGCACAGGCUGCUGCUGGUCUCAGUCUGUGUGCAGUUCGCUCUGUGGACGCCUUACUACACAACACUUUUGGUGCACACGUUUUCCGGGAUUCAAGGAAGGCACCUUCACGGACAGCACUUGAGAACCUACUACUUCGUUCGGGAUUUGUCCAAACUGUUGGCUUUCUCAAGCAGCUUCGCCAUGCCUCUGAUGUACAGGCACAUGAACAAGAGCUUCUCGCAGAAGCUGCGACGGCUCCUGAACCAGCUGCACUGUGGGAAGCAGGGCUGCUCCCAGGAGAGAUCUGCAGAGCAGCAGGUGGUGAGCUGAAGAACCAGGAGCUGUGCUGUGCAAGUACACUUAAAAAACACACAAAACUGAAACUGAAGUCUAUGCAGGAAUAACCACAGUGAGAGAUGUUGGAGAUAGACGUAAAUAAGCUUCCUUCCGUUUCUUGCACCAGAAUCAUGACAUCACAAAAAGAACCCUCACUGUAGCACGUGAUUCUUUUUUGGAACAGACAAGAGAGGUUGUUUGUAAUGACUGUGACAUCACCAGCCAAGCGAGGCAGGGAGAGGCAGCUACUGCAUGUGUUACUAAAAUCAGACACAUGUCCCACCUGACAAACAGGGCACCAUCUUUACAAAUCAAAUCAUAGACAAAAUGUUUCUUGUCAAAAGACGUAAUCUACUCACUGGAUCAUGGAAAAAACCUUCAGGACAAUAAAAUUAAAAAAAAAAAAAAAAAAAAAAAAACCCAACAAACAACUGGUCCCAACCACUUCUGAUUUUCUGGCACACCAGUCCUGAAGCUGGAUCCAGUUGCUGGAAACCCCAUUCCAGGCAUUCCUGAAAUUACUGACAUCAAGAGUCUACAAAGGAAUUUGUUGCUCAGCUCAAGGAGGAUGAAAACAAUAGUGAUCAGUAUUAUUACUACUGGUGAAUAAUAUAAAUAACGAGAAAGGAGUAAUAUUGUCGAUGCAGUCUUUCAAAACGGGCACAGCUACAGCUAGACUAGACACAAUGCUAAUCUGCUUUUAAAACCACAGUCAAACACCCCUGUGGAGCUCCUCAGUGACACCAGUGAGAGGACCUUUGUGCAUCCAAUCAAUCAAGCGCUGGGUCCCUUUUACUUGUCUAUCCAGGUAUGAGCACCUGAAGAGAGGGUGUGCACUUAGAGGUUACCAUAGCAAAAAGCACAGCAAAGUGUAAUGAAAGCAUAAGAACGAACUGUAAAUCCCAGAGCGGAAUGAUAAAGCAUGGUAAAAAGACCAUGGCAAACCAUGCUAAAACUAUGGUGAAUGCAAAGCAUAAUACUUGCAUUUUCCCCAACGGUCAACUUAAGAAUAUUCUGUCUGUUCAUCUGUAGUAAGUAACUCUUGCAUAUAUACUAUUACAUUAGUACAAUUACAUUUUCCAAAAAAAAAAAAAAAAAAAAGAAAACCCCUUUUGAGCCUCCAUUUCUGAAGUGACACUGUGGCCAAUACAGAGCCACUGAACCACAUGAAGAAAUCCAUAACCCUUGUCCAGAACACACGGUUAUUCUGCAUUGGCAAUAUUAAAAGCAGCCUUGUCUCCUACAGCCUCCGUCCAGAUCUGUAAUAAAUCACCCAGGAUGGAUCACAUUUAAGCCACAGUAGGAACCAAAAAAAAAAAAAAAAAAAAAAACCAUGAAGGACAGCACUUUAAUCUGCUUUUAAAACCACAGCGUCUGCUCUACAGGACUACACAGAGAACGGCCUUUAAUGAAACCAUCUGUUAAUGAAACAACAACCAGGCCAGAGAACAUCUCCCGGGUUUUUACAGGGACAGAUUCGAACGACGUCAGUGGUGUCAGAACAACGGCAACAAACACACGUUUUCUCCAGUCGAAACCCAGCGCUUCAGGACUAUUUAUUUUUUUAUCCUCAAAGCGUUUUGUGGCGAACGUACAGGCAGUUAAUGAAACACAGAUGAAAGCUAAUGUCCCACAUCUGCUCUUAACAAUCCAU